UUUAGAUUUUAUCUGUAACCGAUGUUGUCAUCUUGGUGAUCAUCAUCAUUUAGGUAUAAAUUCAAUAAAAUGCAACAUUUCCUAUGAGACGAUCAACAGAAACGUGACAAUCAGUCCGAAAUUUACUAAAAAUCGAGCUAUGAUGCUCCUUAAAGUGUUGCUCUUUCAACUUUUGUUGAUAAGUGUAACUACGGCCGCAAUCAUCUCUUCAUCUACAAGGGUAAAACGCGGCAGCAUCCCCGGUAUAGAUGACAUCAUCAGUUCAGCGUUAGAUAUUGGCAUGCAAGCCUUAGAAGCAGUGCAGAGCGUCGCCGACAUGGUUGGCAUCAGUUUGUCAAAUAAAAAAUCAUAAAAUAUGAAUAAAUAUUAAACAUUUUCAAAA